AUGUCUGAAACUGGGGAGGUUAUCAUUGAUAAGGAUAGUGGUAAUAACAUGGAAAACUUUGAUGCUUUUGAUGAUCCUCGUGAAGAACCUACUAUUUUACAUACUAAAAAGUUUUGGAUCGGUAGUGGUAAUAUUAUUGGAAAAGGAGUUAUUCAAGAUUUCUUUACUUGUGUCGGUGCCUUGCCCACUAUGGGUGGGUCUAUUCUUCAUAGAACUAGUAGUCUUGCGGAUGCAAUAUCCUUGCUCGUAGUUGAACUUGAAAGACAGUUUAUUCAUAUGCAUCCUUGCAUACAAAAGAUUUUUCUAGAAUUUUCCAAUAUUGAGCAUUCUUCUGUUAAGCGAGCCGCUACUAUCUUUUUGGCACAUGAGUUCAGAUUUUAUAAUGAAAGAGGCCAAAGAAUUUUUUGCGCAUUAUAG
rnacentral:rRNA from 1 species